UUGUGGAGGAGGACGCCGAAGGUGGGGCUAAUGACUGGGGUGAAGUCGUAACAAGGUAGCCGUACCGGAAGGUGCGGCUGGAUCACCUCCUAACAGGGAGACGACAAAAUGUUUAAUAUUAUUAUUUUGUCACCUUAGGUCGAUCGGUAUCUCACGUUCCUAAUUUAUUAAGAAUUUCAUUUCCUAAGUUUUUCUAGGUCACACCCAUUAUUUUUCCUGGGCCAUUAGCUCAGGUGGUUAGAGCGCACCCCUGAUAAGGGUGAGGUCCCUGGUUCAAGUCCAGGAUGGCCCAUAUCUCUAUGUUGGGGGUAUAGCUCAGUUGGUAGAGCGCCUGCUUUGCAAGCAGGAUGUCAGCGGUUCGAGUCCGCUUACCUCCACUGAUUACCACCUCUUCCAUAAAUUUCUAGAAAGGAAAUGUUUUGAGUUGUGAUCAAAUUCUGAACGAAUCUAGCUUCCUAAUGAAAUCAUUAAGAUGCUGGACUCAUUGAAUUAAUUUCAUUGUUUUCAGAGAACCUUGACAACUGCAUAGAUUAUUUUUAAAGACAAUAAGCAUCUUUAUGAUGCAGAUUUAUUAUUUGUGCGAAUGCAUUAAUAACAAUUCUAUUAAGCUGAUGCUUCGAUUUUGAAGUUAUUGGUCAAGCUACAA
rnacentral:misc_RNA from 1 species